GACGAACGCUGGCGGCGUGCCUAAUACAUGCAAGUCGAGCGAACGGACGAGAAGCUUGCUUCCACGAUGUUAGAGGCGGACGGGAGCUUAACACGUGGUUAACCUAACUCUACGACUGGGAUAACUUCGGGAAACAGGAGCUAAUACCGGAUAAUUUUUUGAACCGCAUGGUUCACACGUGAAAGAAGGUCUUGCUGACACUUAUAGAUGGAUCAGCGCUUCAUUAGCUAGUUGGUAAGGUAACGGCUUACCAAGGCAACGAUGCAUAGACGACCUGAGAGGGAGAACGGCUACACGGUAACUGAGGCACGUUCCAGACUCCGACAGUAGGCAGCAGUAGAGAAUCUUCCGCGAUGGACGAGAGCCUGACGUAGCAACGCCGCGUGAGUGAUGAAGGUCUUAGGAUCGUAGAGCGCUGUAAGUAGGAAAGAACAUAUGUGUAAGUAACUGGGCUCAUCUUGACGGUACCUAGUCAGAAAGCCACGGCUAACUACGUG
rnacentral:rRNA from 1 species